rnacentral:rRNA from 1 species
ACGAACGCUGGCGGCGUGCUUAACACAUGCAAGUCGAACGGAAAGGCCCUGCUUGCAGGGUACUCGAGUGGCGAACGGGUGAGUAACACGUGGGUGAUCUGCCCUGCACUUCGGGAUAAGCCUGGGAAACUGGGUCUAAUACCGGAUAGGAGCCAUUUUUAGUGUGAUGGUUGGAAAGUUUUUUCGGUGUAGGAUGAGCUCGCGGCCUAUCAGCUUGUUGGUGGGGUAAUGGCCUACCAAGGCGGCGACGGGUAGCCGGCCUGAGAGGGUGGACGGCCACAUUGGGACUGAGAUACGGCCCAGACUCCUACGGGAGGCAGCAGUGGGGAAUAUUGAACAAUGGGCGCAAGCCUGAUGCAGCGACGCCGCGUGGGGGAGGACGGCCUUCGGGUUGUAAACGCCUUUCGCUAGGGACGAAGCUUUUUGUGACGGUACCUAGAGAAGAAGCACCGGCUAACUACGUG